rnacentral:rRNA from 1 species
UACGUAGGCAGCGAGCGUUGUUCGGAGUUACUGGGCGUAAAGCGUGCGUAGGCGGUGGCCCAAGUCUGGUGUGAAAUCUCCCGGCUUAACCGGGAGGGUGCGCCGGAAACUGGGUUGCUGGAGUACGGGAGAGGCAAGCGGAAUUCCAGGUGUAGCGGUGAAAUGCGUAGAUAUCUGGAGGAACACCCGUGGUGCAGACGGCUUGCUGGACCGUGACUGACGCUGAGGCACGAAAGCGUGGGUAGCAAACAGG